rnacentral:rRNA from 1 species
UACGGGGGGGGCAAGCGUUGUUCGGAAUUACUGGGCGUAAAGGGCGCGUAGGCGGCCACCGCAAGUCGACUGUGAAAUCUCCGGGCUUAACCCGGAAAGGUCAGCCGAUACUGCGGGGCUAGAGUGCAGAAGGGGCAACUGGAAUUCUCGGUGUAGCGGUGAAAUGCGUAGAUAUCGAGAGGAACACCGGCGGCGAAGGCGGCUGCCUGGACCAGUCCUGACGCUGAGGCGCGAAAGCUAGGGGAGCAAACAGG